GAUGAAGAACGUAGCGAAAUGCGAUAAGUAAUGUGAAUUGCAGAAUUCAGUGAAUCAUCGAAUCUUUGAACGCACAUUGCGCCCGCCAGUAUUCUGGCGGGCAUGCCUGUCUGAGCGUCAUUUCAACCCUCAUGCCCCUAGGGCGUGGUGUUGGGGAUCGGCCAAAGCCCGCGAGGGACGGCCGGCCCCUAAAUCUAGUGGCGGACCCGUCGUGGCCUCCUCUGCGAAGUAGUGAUAUUCCGCAUCGGAGAGCGAUGAGCCCCUGCCGUUAAACCCCCAGCUUUCCAAGGUUGACCUCAGAUCAGGUAGGAAUACCCGCUGAACUUAAGCAUAUCAAUAAGCGGAGGA
rnacentral:misc_RNA from 1 species